rnacentral:tRNA from 1 species
GCAAGAGCUUCCGUAGUUUAGUGGUUAUGACAAACGCCUUCCAAGCGUUAGACCCGAGUUCGAAUCUCGGCGGUUGCA